rnacentral:rRNA from 1 species
UACGGAGGGUGCGAGCGUUGUCCGGAAUCACUGGGCGUAAAGGGCGCGUAGGCGGCCUGAUAAGUAGGGGGUGAAAAUCCUGCGGCUUAACCGCAGGGCUGCCUUCUAAACUGUCAGGCUGGAGCACAGUAGAGGCAGGUGGAAUUCCCGGUGUAGCGGUGGAAUGCGUAGAGAUCGGGAAGAACAUCAGUGGCGAAGGUGGCCUGCUGGGGCUGUUGC